CUUCACCCUCCCUCCAACCUCGGGAUCCAUAAAACCACCUUUUUUUUUUUAAGGUAUACUUUUUUUGGUGAGGAAGAUUGGCCCUAAGCUAAUAUCUGUUGUCAAUCUUCCUCUUUUUUUUUGCCUCCCCAAAGUCCCAGUACAUAGCUGUAUAUCCUAGUUGUAAGUCCUUCUAGUUCUUCUAUGUGGCAUGCUGCCACAGCAUGGCUUGAUGAGUGGUGUGUAGGUCCGCAUCCAGGAUCCCAACUGAUGAACCCCAGGAUGCCAAAGCAGAGUACAUGAACCCAACCACUAUGCCACAGGGCCAGCCCAAAACUGCCUUUUUAUCAGCGGCUUCCUCAAAAGCAAGAUGACUCCCAUGUCUAUGCUGAUCCACCUGCCGCUGGGCUCAUGUGCGUUCCAUGGGGAAAAUGGAGAGGGGAUGGGCACCUUCUCCAGUUUUAGAUCCUUGCUUAUACCAUUGCAGUGAGUCAUUACAGCCUCAUUGCUCUAAUUGGCUCCUCCGACCCCUGACAGCACAGCCUGCCCUCUCUCUCCCAGCUGAGCUCCUGAGAGGAGGGGCUCCUCCAGCUCCCUGCCUGUUGGGAGCACACUCGCAAAGCACGGCCCCAUCUCUGUUGGAGGCUAUGGCUUCUGCUACAUGUGUUUCUGUUUCGUUUCUCCGUUUGAUUUCUCUGUCUGUUUCACACACACGCUAACAGUAACCGAGGACAAGAUGCAGCGCAGGGUUUUGCUAUGGGGGUUGGGCAGGGAGUCAGCAGGAAAGAGUGGAAUAAUGAAGCAGUCCCUGGCCAGAUGCAGACUUACAGACUGUGGGAACUCCUGCAAGCCUCAGAGACCCACUUCUUCCCGUCUACACUGCAGAGGAGGAACCAAAGAGUCAGAGAGCUGAGUGACUUGGCCAGGGUCACCUGACUAAAACCCAGGUUGAGUAUUUCCAGGCUGCCUUCCUGAUCUUGCUCCUUCCUGCUUCAGGUUCUGUUCAGGGCUGUGCCCUCAGGUGCCCAGGACUGUGCUGAGCCCCCUGCAGUCAGCACUCUCUCGGAGCCGCAGCCUGACUGGGGAAGAGGAGGCGAGAGCAGGGUUCUCAAACUUGAGCAUGCUUAGACUCGCCUGGAGGGCUGGUUAAAACAUGCAUUGCCAGCCCCCUGCCCAGAGUUUCUUCUGGUUUAGUAGGUCUGGGAGGGUAUCUGAGAAUUUGCAUUUUUAACAAGCUUCCAGGUGCAGCUGAUGAGAACCACUGGAUUAGACUAUAAAGGA
rnacentral:lncRNA from 1 species